rnacentral:rRNA from 1 species
UACUCCUCGAGAGUUCUGUAGGGCCCUGGAAGACCACCAGGUUGAUAGGUCAGGUGUGUAAGCGUUGUGAGGCGUUGAGCUAACUGAUACUAAUUGCCCGUGAGGCUUGACCAU